GGAAUUACCAGAGAGAAAGGUAAAAUUUUGUUCAUUUUUUAUUUUCAUUUAUAAUUUAUUUUAUGUUAACAAAGUAAUUAGAGUACUAAUACUUUACUUGUAAGCAAGAUUCAAAAGUAGUAGUUCAACAUAUAACCACCACUUGAUUGACUCUUUAUAUAUAUAUAUUAUUAAUUAUUUUCAAGGUACACCUAAUAAAGUAUAUGUGAUAUUGACAGGGGUGAGUUAUCG
rnacentral:misc_RNA from 1 species